UACGGGGGGGGCAAGCGUUGUUCGGAAUUACUGGGCGUAAAGGGCUCGUAGGCGGCCAACUAAGUCGGAUGUGAAAUCCCCAGGCUUAACCUGGGAACUGCAUCCGAUACUGGAUGGCUUGAAUCCGGGAGAGGGAUGCAGAAUUCCAGGUGUAGCGGUGAAAUGCGUAGAUAUCUGGAGGAAUACCCGUGGCGAAGGCGGCUCUCUGGGACGGUACUGACGCUGAGACGCGAAAGCGUGGGGAGCGAACAGG
rnacentral:rRNA from 1 species